rnacentral:pre_miRNA from 1 species
UAGAUCUCGGUCCUCCAAAACAAAUCUAACGGCUGAGAUUAGUCCACGUUAUCACGAGUUAAAAUUCAACUCCAGUAAAAUUUUAACUCCUGAACCUACGAGUUAAAUUUUAACUCAUGAUGACGUGGACGAAUUUCAGCCAUUGAAUUUAUUUUGGAGGGCCGAGAUUCA